GACUGAGCUCGGAGGCGUCGUUCGUCAUCCGGCCAUCUCCCAGCGCAAGACCGGCGUUCACAGGUCCGUCUCGGCGUCCCCGACCUCCUUGUGAUUCCAGCUUGAAGAGUGGAGCUCCGGUGAGAGAGAAAAGGAGGAGAGAAGGCGAUUGUGUUUCCGAUCCCGACCACGACGGCGAGCGUGAAUGGUACUGGUAGUCUCAUCUCGUCCUCCCCAUCCUCCCUGUGAUCUUACUUUCAGCAAAGGAGCUCCGGUGAAGGAGAAUCGAAGGAGAGAAGCUUCUGAGUUUUCCGGCGAGGGUUCAGUGUUUUCCGGCGAAGUUGUGUUCGACUCAGGUAUCAAUCUUCAUCUACUCAUCGAGCUCUACCUCUUUGUAUAAUUGAAAUCGUGUUUGGUUGAGAGAUGAAGAAGUUGGGUUUAUGGCAGCGGGUGACCGCCGUGUGUACCAUUGUGCACGGCGGUGGUGGAGGCGUUUCUAUUGUUUUCUGGUUUUGAAUUUGUAUGCUAGAGUUGGAUUGAUGAUUAGUAUGUUGUCUGGAAUUAUUGAAAUUGUAGAAUUGGAGGUAGAGGGCGGAGUUGCAGGUUGUUCGGGUUUACUGCAAGUUUUGGUGAUUUUGGAGUUCAUACUUAUGAGCUGGUUCGAUAUAUGGUAUAAUGGAGUUGUGUUUUCAUCAUUGCCGAAGUAAUUGAGGGACUAGUGAUUGGAAUACAAUUUGGAGAUGAAUCAAGAGGUGGGAGAUUUGGACGACCUAUGUAUGUGUUGGUUAGUAAGAACAAGAAAGUCUUGCUACUACCGUGGAGUUGUGCGACAAUGCAGGAAAGUUACUAACUUUGGAAUUAUUGUUUAUUUGGCUACUGUAAAUGCAAGUUGAAUGAGCUCAGAGGUUAUAAACGUAUUAAAGGUAGGGAUUUAUACAAAGUGUGGGUGUCCAUAGCAAUUUGAAGGAUGGAAUGGAAGAAUUAAUUGGACACUUGUUUUUGGGUGUCCUUAGUAGAUUUCUGAAUUCGGUGUUUAAAAUGAUUCGUCGACAUUCUUGGAAUAAGAGUUCGAUACGAGGAUUUGAGGGCACUUUGCAGUUCUAGAAGCAGAAGGAUAAAGAUUUCAGAAUGCGUGUCGCAGAGAUACUAAUUUUAGUUAGCGUUGGAACUAGCGCUCGGAUUCCAGGUAAGGUUUUUCUCGGGGAACCUUCCUUAAAUUGAUAAUUAAUUUAUAAUUGAAAUGAGUCCAUUGAGUGAUUAACUCUUGGUUGUUAUUGUUUUCGAUAAAAGUAUAUGUAAUCGGUGAUUUAUAUAAUUAAUGUUAUUGCUUUCCAUAAAAACAUGUGUUGGAUGAUAUAUUAUGAAUAUUGAUAUUUGUUGCAUUCAUAAUGCAUUGUGAGGAAUUGUGAGAUUAGUGAGAUUAAUGAUAGUGGAGAAGAUGAGAAUGAGAUCGAGAAAAGAUACAUUUUGUGUAGUUGAGUUUCCUUAUGGGUUGUCCAUGAAUCCAU
rnacentral:lncRNA from 1 species